AACGUACGCUGGCGGCACGCCUAACACAUGCAAGUCGAACGAAGUAGCAAUACUUAGUGGCAAACGGGUGAGUAAUAUGUGGGAAUCUGCCUUUCGGUUUGGAAUAACAUGAGGAAACUUAUGCUAAUACCAGAUAAAAAAAAACAGGGAAAGCUUUAUGCACCGAUUGAUGAGUCCACACUUGAUUAGUUAGUUGGUGAGGUAAUGGCUCACCAAGACAAUGAUCAAUAGCUGAUUUGAGAGGAUGAUCAGCCACAUUGGGACUGAGACACGGCCCAAACUCCUACGGGAGGCAGCAGUGGGGAAUCUUGCACAAUGGGGGAAACCCUGAUGCAGCGAUGCCGCGUGAGUGAAGAAGGCCCUUGGGAAGUAAAGCUCUUUCGUCGGGGAAGAAAAUGACUGUACCCGAAUAAGAAGGUCCGGCUAACUUCGUG
rnacentral:rRNA from 1 species